rnacentral:rRNA from 1 species
UCCGUAGGCGGGCAGCUAAGUCUGUGGUGAAAGUCUGCAGCUCAACUGUAGAAUUGCCAUUGAUACUGGUUGUCUUGAAUUAUUAUGAAGUGGUUAGAAUAUGUAGUGUAGCGGUGAAAUGCAUAGAUAUUACAUAGAAUACCAAUUGCGAAGGCAGAUCACUAAUAAUAUAUUGACGCUGAUGGACGAAAGCGUGGGGAGCGAACAGGAUUAGAUACCCUGGUAGUCC